rnacentral:rRNA from 1 species
CAGCCGCCACGGGAAUAUGAAGGGGGCUAGCGUUGUUCGGAAUCACUGGGCGUAAAGCGCACGUAGGCGGACUUUUAAGUCAGGGGUGAAAUCCCAAGGCUCAACCUUGGAACUGCCUUUGAUACUGGAAGUCUUGAGUUCGGGAGAGGUGAGUGGAACUGCGAGUGUAGAGGUGAAAUUCGUAGAUAUUCGCAAGAACACCAGUGGCGAAGGCGGCUCACUGGCCCGAUACUGACGCUGAGGUGCGAAAGCGUGGGGAGCAAACAGGAUUAGAUACCCCCGUAGUCCCUGUCUCUUAUAC